AACGAACGCUGGCGGCGUGCUUAACACAUGCAAGUCGAACGGUAAGGCCCUUCGGGGUACACGAGUGGCGAACGGGUGAGUAACACGUGGGUGAUCUGCCCUGCACUUCGGGAUAAGCCUGGGAAACUGGGUCUAAUACCGGAUAGGACCCUGGGAUGCAUGUCCUGGGGUGGAAAGCUUUUGCGGUGUGGGAUGGGCCCGCGGCCUAUCAGCUUGUUGGUGGGGUGAUGGCCUACCAAGGCGACGACGGGUAGCCGGCCUGUGAGGGUGACCGGCCGCACUGGGACUGAGAUACGGCCCAGACUCCUACGGGAGGCAGCAGUGGGGAAUAUUGCACAAUGGGCGCAAGCCUGAUGCAGCGGCGCCGCGUGAGGGAUGACGGCCUUCGGGUUGUGAACCUCUUUCAGCACCGACGAAGCGCAAGUGACGGUAGGUGCAGAAGAAGGACCGGCCAACUACGUGCCAGCCGCCGCCGUAACAC
rnacentral:rRNA from 1 species